rnacentral:rRNA from 1 species
GAUGAACGCUGGCGGCGUGCCUAAUACAUGCAAGUCGAGCGAACGGACGAGAAGCUUGCUUUUCUGAUGUUAGCGGCGGACGGGUGAGUAACACGUGGAUAACCUACCUAUAAGACUGGGAUAACUUCGGGAAACCGGAGCUAAUACCGGAUAAUAUUUUGAACCGCAUGGUUCAAAAGUGAAAGACGGUCUUGCUGUCACUUAUAGAUGGAUCCGCGCUGCAUUAGCUAGUUGGUAAGGUAACGGCUUACCAAGGCAACGAUGCGUAGCCGACCUGAGAGGGUGAUCGGCCACACUGGAACUGAGACACGGUCCAGACUCCUACGGGAGGCAGCAGUAGGGAAUCUUCCGCAAUGGGCGAAAGCCUGACGGAGCAACGCCGCGUGAGUGAUGAAGGUCUUCGGAUCGUAAAACUCUGUUAUUAGGGAAGAACAUAUGUGUAAGUAACUGUGCACAUCUUGACGGUACCUAAUCAGAAAGCCACGGCUAACUACGCG